GAUGAAGAACGUAGCGAAAUGCGAUAAGUAAUGUGAAUUGCAGAAUUCAGUGAAUCAUCGAAUCUUUGAACGCACCUUGCGCUCCUUGGUAUUCCGAGGAGCAUGCCUGUUUGAGUGUCAUGAAAUUCUCAACCUUUUCAGCUUUCUUUGUUGAUCAGGCUUGGCUGUGGGAGUAUGCGGGCUUCUCAGAAGUCGGCUCUCCUGAAAUGCAUUAGCGGGACCUUUGUUGCCUGGCUUUGGUGUGAUAAUUAUCUACGCCAUUGUAGUCAAGCAGCUUAAAAUGAGGUUUCAGCUUCUAACCGUCUCCCCUGAGACAACUUUUUGACAAUUUGACCUCAAAUCAGGUAGGACUACCCGCUGAACUUAAGCAUAUCAAUAAGCGGAGGA
rnacentral:misc_RNA from 1 species